AGAGUUUGAUCCUGGCUCAGGAUGAACGCUGGCGGCGUGCCUAAUACAUGCAAGUCGAGCGAACGGACGAGAAGCUUGCUUCUCUGAUGUUAGCGGCGGACGGGUGAGUAACACGUGGAUAACCUACCUAUAAGACUGGGAUAACUUCGGGAAACCGGAGCUAAUACCGGAUAAUAUUUUGAACCGCAUGGUUCAAAAGUGAAAGACGGUCUUGCUGUCACUUAUAGAUGGAUCCGCGCUGCAUUAGCUAGUUGGUAAGGUAACGGCUUACCAAGGCAACGAUGCAUAGCCGACCUGAGAGGGUGAUCGGCCACACUGGAACUGAGACACGGUCCAGACUCCUACGGGAGGCAGCAGUAGGGAAUCUUCCGCAAUGGGCGAAAGCCUGACGGAGCAACGCCGCGUGAGUGAUGAAGGUCUUCGGAUCGUAAAACUCUGUUAUUAGGGAAGAACAUAUGUGUAAGUAACUGUGCACAUCUUGACGGUACCUAAUCAGAAAGCCACGGCUAACUACGUGCCAGCAGCCGCGGUAAUACGUAGGUGGCAAGCGUUAUCCGGAAUUAUUGGGCGUAAAGCGCGCGUAGGCGGUUUUUUAAGUCUGAUGUGAAAGCCCACGGCUCAACCGUGGAGGGUCAUUGGAAACUGGAAAACUUGAGUGCAGAAGAGGAAAGUGGAAUUCCAUGUGUAGCGGUGAAAUGCGCAGAGAUAUGGAGGAACACCAGUGGCGAAGGCGACUUUCUGGUCUGUAACUGACGCUGAUGUGCGAAAGCGUGGGGAUCAAACAGGAUUAGAUACCCUGGUAGUCCACGCCGUAAACGAUGAGUGCUAAGUGUUAGGGGGUUUCCGCCCCUUAGUGCUGCAGCUAACGCAUUAAGCACUCCGCCUGGGGAGUACGACCGCAAGGUUGAAACUCAAAGGAAUUGACGGGGACCCGCACAAGCGGUGGAGCAUGUGGUUUAAUUCGAAGCAACGCGAAGAACCUUACCAAAUCUUGACAUCCUUUGACAACUCUAGAGAUAGAGCUUUCCCCUUCGGGGGACAAAGUGACAGGUGGUGCAUGGUUGUCGUCAGCUCGUGUCGUGAGAUGUUGGGUUAAGUCCCGCAACGAGCGCAACCCUUAAGCUUAGUUGCCAUCAUUAAGUUGGGCACUCUAAGUUGACUGCCGGUGACAAACCGGAGGAGGUGGGGAUGACGUCAAAUCAUCAUGCCCCUUAUGAUUUGGGCUACACACGUGCUACAAUGGACAAUACAAAGGGCAGCGAAACCGUGAGGUCAAGCAAAUCCCAUAAAGUUGUUCUCAGUUCGGAUUGUAGUCUGCAACUCGACUACAUGAAGCUGGAAUCGCUAGUAAUCGUAGAUCAGCAUGCUACGGUGAAUACGUUCCCGGGUCUUGUACACACCGCCCGUCACACCACGAGAGUUUGUAACACCCGAAGCCGGUGGAGUAACCUUUUAGGAGCUAGCCGUCGAAGGUGGGACAAAUGAUUGGGGUGAAGUCGUAACAAGGUAGCCGUAUCGGAAGGUGCGGCUGGAUCACCU
rnacentral:rRNA from 1 species